rnacentral:tRNA from 1 species
GGGCUCGUAGCUCAGUCUGGUAGAGCAUCGCCCUUGCAAGGCGGGGGCCUCGGGUUCAAAACAACUGGUUACGCUCGGUUGACACGCAAAGUGCGGCGUGAAGCCACACGAGCUCACUAGUCGUUCGCGUGACCUUUGUGAAUUUCCCGACGAGUCCA